rnacentral:tmRNA from 1 species
GGGGCUGACCGGUAUUGACGGGAUGUGCAAGGGUUAUGUUAGCAUGUCGAGCAUUGGGUAAUUGGCUCGUAAAUAUCAACGCUCAAAAUUUUAUCUGGCGAGUCUAACUUCGCUAUGGCUGCUUAAUCUGGGAUUAAGCAAAUGCCAUUGUCUCGUAACAUGUUAAGUUUUGUUUCGUGUUACAUCAGAGGCAUCAUCAAAACCAAACCUUUGUGGGGUAUGCUUAUGGCCUUAUAGAGUAUAAAUAAGAUAUAAAUAAGUUUGGUACGAAGGGCAACCUGACUUAUUUAGAAAAUUAAUGCCUUUAUAAACAUGUAGAAGGCAUAAUGUUUCCAUCUCCGGACGAGGGUUCGAAUCCCUCCAGCUCCACCA